rnacentral:rRNA from 1 species
AUUGAACGCUGGCGGCAUGCCUUACACAUGCAAGUCGAACGGCAGCACGGGUGCUUGCACCUGGUGGCGAGUGGCGAACGGGUGAGUAAUACAUCGGAACGUACCUUAUCGUGGGGGAUAACGCAGCGAAAGUUGCGCUAAUACCGCAUACGCCCUGAGGGGGAAAGCGGGGGACCGUAAGGCCUCGCGCGAUUAGAGCGGCCGAUGUCUGAUUAGCUUGUUGGUGAGGUAAAAGCUCACCAAGGCGAUGAUCAGUAGCUGGUCUGAGGGGACGAUCAGCCACGCGGGGACUGAGACACGGCCCAGACUCCUACGGGAGGCAGCAGUGGGGAAUUUUGGACAAUGGGGGCAACCCUGAUCCAGCAAUGCCGCGUGAGUGAAGAAGGCCUUCGGGUUGUAAAGCUCUUUUGUCAGGGAAGAAACACCGGCUCUAACACAGUCCGGGAAUGACGGUACCUGAAGAAUAAGCACCGGCUAACUACGUGCCAGCAGCCGCCGUAA